CCUACGGGAGGCAGCAGUGGGGGAUAUUGCACAAUGGGGGGAACCCUGAUGCAGCGACGCCGCGUGGGUGAAGGAGUGCUUCGGCAUGUAAAGCCCUAUCGGCAGGGAAGAAGCAAGACGGUACCUGACUAAGAAGCCCCGGCUAACUACGUGCCAGCAGCCGCGGUAAUACGUCGGGGGCGAGCGUUAUACGGACUCACUGGGUGUAAAGGGAGCGUAGACGGCCAAGCAAGCCAGGGGUGAAAGCCCGGGGCCCAACCCCGGGACUGCCCUUGGAACUGCAUGGCGGGAGUGCGGGAGGGGGAGGCGGAAGUCCUGGGGGAGCGGUGAAAUGCGUAGAUAUCAGGAGGAACACCGGCGGCGAAGGCGGCCUGCUGGACCGCGACUGACGUUGAGGCUCGAAAGCGUGGGGAGCGAACAGGAGUAGAUACCCGUGUAGUC
rnacentral:rRNA from 1 species